AGCGAACGCUGGCGGCAGGCCUAACACAUGCAAGUCGAACGAACCCUUCGGGGUUAGUGGCGGACGGGUGAGUAACACGUGGGAACGUGCCUUUAGGUUCGGAAUAACUCAGGGAAACUUGUGCUAAUACCGAAUGUGCCCUUCGGGGGAAAGAUUUAUCGCCAUUGGAGCGGCCCGCGUCUGAUUAGCUAGUUGGUGAGGUAAAGGCUCACCAAGGCGACGAUCAGUAGCUGGUCUGAGAGGAUGAUCAGCCACAUUGGGACUGAGACACGGCCCAAACUCCGACGGGAGACAGCAGUGGGGAAGCUUGCGCAAUGGGCGAAAGCCUGACGCAGCCAUGCCGCGUGAAUGAUGAAGGUCUUAGGAUUGUAAAAUUCUUUCACCGGGGACGAUAAUGACGGGACCCGGAGAAGAAGCCCCGGCUAACUUCGUGCCAGCAGCCGCCGUAACAC
rnacentral:rRNA from 1 species